GAGAUCAGGUGACUCCAGGCUUACAGCGAAGGAGGCGCGGGUGACGUCAAGGGCGCCGCCGCUCCUCCCUCGCUCAGGGCAGGUGCGGCGGUUAUAGUGUAGUCUGGUCCAGGCUCUAGCCGCUCUGUACGCAGCCGCUUCGGGGAGAGGAGAGAUUGUUCCGUUUCCUGGAAACUUAUCCAUCAUCCUGCCUGCAGAAGCAAUGCCAGCAGCUGCCAGGUAGAUUAUAAGGUGCCUUGCCAGGUUCCUCAUGAAUCCGGAGAACCCACCACCAUAUCCAGGCCCGGGCCCAACGGCCCCAUACCCACCUUAUCCACAACAACCAAUGGGGCCAAUGGGGGGACCCUACCCACCUCCUCAGGGGUACCCCUAUCAAGGAUACCCACAGUACGGCUGGCAGGGUGGACCUCAAGAGCCUCCUAAGACCACAGUGUACAUUUUGGAACGGGAAAGGAAGACCAACACAGAUGGCGGGUGUCAGGCAGUCCUGGCCGCAUGCUGGGCCGCACUCUGCUGUUGCUGCCUCCUGGACAGCUUGGACUGAGCAGCCAAGAUCCAAGUUCUCCCUGCAGCCUGCCGCCUCCUGUUACUAGAAUAAACAACUAGUGCUGCACAAGUUCAAUUUUUUUUCUUUCUUUGAAAAAAUAAAUCUAAUCUGCAGACUUUAAAGA